rnacentral:rRNA from 1 species
CCUACGGGAGGCAGCAGUGGGGAAUAUUGCACAAUGGGGGAAACCCUGAUGCAGCAACGCCGCGUGAGCGAUGAAGGCCUUCGGGUCGUAAAGCUCUGUCCUAAGGGAGGAAUACUGACGGUACCUUAGGAGGAAGCCCCGGCUAACUACGUGCCAGCAGCCGCGGUAGUACGUAGGGGGCUAGCGUUAUCCGGAAUUACUGGGCGUAAAGGGUGCGUAGGCGGCCCUUGAAGUCAGAUGGGAAAGGCUACGGCUCAACCGUAGUAAGCCUUAGAAACUGUAGGGGAUGAGUGCAGGAGAGGAGAGUGGAAGUCCCAGUGUAGCGGUGAAAUGCGGAGAGAUUGGGAGGAACACCAGUUGCGAAGGCAGCUCUCAGAACUGUAACUGACGCUGAGGCACGAAAGCGUGGGGAGCGAACAGGAUUAGAUACCCUAGUAGUC